rnacentral:rRNA from 1 species
AUUGAACGCUGGCGGCAGGCCUAACACAUGCAAGUCGAGCGGCUGAAGGGAGCUUGCUCCUGAAUUCAGCGGCGGACGGGUGAGUAAUGCCUAGGAAUCUGCCUGGUAGUGGGGGAUAACGUCCGGAAACGGGCGCUAAUACCGCAUACGUCCUGAGGGAGAAAGUGGGGGAUCUUCGGACCUCACGCUAUCAGAUGAGCCUAGGUCGGAUUAGCUAGUUGGUGGGGUAAAGGCCUACCAAGGCGACGAUCCGUAACUGGUCUGAGAGGAUGAUCAGUCACACUGGAACUGAGACACGGUCCAGACUCCUACGGGAGGCAGCAGUGGGGAAUAUUGGACAAUGGGCGAAAGCCUGAUCCAGCCAUGCCGCGUGUGUGAAGAAGGUCUUCGGAUUUUAAAGCACUUUAAGUUGGGAGGAAGGGCAGUAAGUUAAUACCUUGCUGUUUUGACGUUACCAACAGAAUAAGCACCGGCUAACUUCGUG